GAUGAACGCUGGCGGCGUGCCUAAUACAUGCAAGUCGAGCGAACGGACGAGAAGCUUGCUUCUCUGAUGUUAGCGGCGGACGGGUGAGUAACACGUGGAUAACCUACCUAUAAGACUGGGAUAACUUCGGGAAACCGGAGCUAAUACCGGAUGAUAUUUUGAACCGCAUGGUUCAAAAGUGAAAGACGGUCUUGCUGUCACUUAUAGAUGGAUCCGCGCUGCAUUAGCUAGUUGGUAAGGUAACGGCUUACCAAGGCAACGAUGCAUAGCCGACCUGAGAGGGUGAUCGGCCACACUGGAACUGAGACACGGCCCAGACUCCUACGGGAGGCAGCAGUAGGGAAUCUUCGGCAAUGGGCGAAAGCCUGACGGAGCAACGCCGCGUGGGUGAUGAAGGUCUUCGGAUCGUAAAACUCUGUUAUUAGGGAAGAACAUAUGUGUAAGUAACUGUGCACAUCUUGACGGUACCUAAUCAGAAAGCCACGGCUAACUACGUG
rnacentral:rRNA from 1 species